GGUCCCGCCUGCCCUGUGACUAUAUGUUUAACGGCCGCGGUAUUUUGACCGUGCGAAGGUAGCGCAAUCACUUGUCUUUUAAAUGAAGACCUGUAUGAAUGGCACGACGAGGGCCUAGCUGUCUCCUUUUUCAGGUCAAUGAAAUUGAUCUUCCCGUGCAGAAGCGGGAAUAACUAUAUAAGACGAGAAGACCCUAUGGAGCUUCAGACACAAAGCAGCCCACGUUAAUAACCUCCAAACAAGGAACUAAACUAAGUGAUAUCCUGCCAGAAUGUCUUUGGUUGGGGCGACCGCGGGGAAAAACCAAACCCCCAUGUGGAAAAGGAGGACUCCUCCUACAACCAAGAGCCACUGCUCUAAGUAACAGAAUUUCUGACCAAAAUGAUCCGGCAAUGCCGAUCAACGGACCGAGUUACCCUAGGGAUAACAGCGCAAUCCUCUUCCAGAGCCCAUAUCGACAAGGGGGUUUACGACCUCGAUGUUGGAUCAGGACAUCCUAAUGGUGCAGCCGCUAUUAAGGGUUCGUUUGUUCAACGAUUAAAGUCCUACGUGAUCU
rnacentral:rRNA from 1 species